GACGUAGGACGCGAGCGUUGUCCGGAUUUAUUGGGCGUAAAGAGCUCGUAGGCGGCUUGUCGCGUCGAAUGUGAAAACCCACAGCUCAACUGUGGGCUUGCGGUCGAUACGGGCAUCACUGGAGUUCGGCAGGGGAGACUGGAAUUCCUAGUGUAGCGGUGAAAUGCGCAGAUAUCAGGAGGAACACCGGUGGCGAAGGCGGAUCUCUGGGCCGAUACUGACGCUGAGGAGCGAAAGCGUGGGGAGCGAACAGG
rnacentral:rRNA from 1 species